AUAUAUACAACAAUAUAAUAGCUAUCAGAGGUUGAAUGUGAGAUUAAAU
rnacentral:guide_RNA from 1 species